AAUGCGGCCCCACCCCCACGCCAUAAAAACAGCAACCCGUCGCGUUCCGAAUCACGCAACAGCACCACGCAAAGCACAAUCGCAUACAGUCCUCUACCCUCUUCCCACAUUCGCACACACGCCCAUACGCGCACCGCUCUGCCUCUCACCAUUUUCUGCCGCACAGAAUCAUUUCUCUCUCACUCGGCUGUCGGAAGAGCGAGCGACGCGGCUGCACUUCGCUCUUUUUCCUUGUUUUUUUUUUUGGCUUUUCGUGUCCUAAUCGUUAGACGCACUGCACGCACCACUCUAGAAAAGAACCAUAAGAUCCACACAGCAGACUCGAUAAAAUGGCCUCCGUCGACACGCAGUGGGCCAUAAAGUCCAUUCUCCAGCUCGGCCACCAUCACCUCCGUCACAGGGUGGAGACUACCUCCUCAUCGUCAUCGUGUUUAGUGCGGCCAACAUCGCUAUCCUUCAGGUCUGCCUCCGAGGCGGUGCAGGUGACAGCAAUGCCGCGACUCAUGCGAGCGUCCUGCGAUCCGUCAUAUGUGCUACUCCUCGCCAAGCGGCCGAGCGGGAUCGCGGGAGUCAGUCUUAGGCCAGGCAACCGGGUUCCGUGGGCCGGCCUGCCUGCCGCCGCAUCAUCGCCGGUGUCUGCCCCGUGCUCAAAGAAGACUCGCCUUCUAGCUUCCUACUUGCAGCGGCGCGGCUUUGCGACGAUACCACCCGUGGCCACCGAAACACACUCGUCAUCUUCGCAAUUCCGACCAGUGCAAAAGUCGAUGCCACUGCUGCUCCACACAAGCCAUUUGAUUGGUUGGAAGCUGAACGAUGCGUCACCGGCGUUUCCGGUGUACGCGCACACCCUUGCUGAGCUUCAACGGUUGCACAGCAGCGACGUGGCUGCUCUGAAUCCGCAGCACUGCCUCAUCGCCAGCGAGUACUGCGAGUGGGACAACUGGCGGGAAGUCCUGGGCGAGCCGGGCUGGGACCUCUUCAGCGCUGACGAGGACGCGGUCGAGCGCCUCCUGCAGGACGGCCUCGCUCUUUCUACGCUGGAGGAAGAACCGGGGCUGUACCCGGUCGAGGUGAUCUGAGAUUCUAGUUCAUCGCUUCUCUUCUCUCCGCGUUGCUUUACGGCAUCCAAUGGACUCUGCCUACUCAUAGAGCCUUGACGGCUGUUGUUGCUUUUCGGUACGGUCGCCGCUGCUGUCAAGGAACAUGCGCACACGCCCACACAACGCCAAACGCGCGAUGCUAUAGAAUCGCCAACUGCGGCACUUCAUCUCACCCCCGCCCCUCCCUCUCUCCGUGUGCCAGCGUCACCUGUCGCGUAUGUAUGCACGAUAUAUGCUGAGUGUGUAUAGCCUCGAUGGGAGAUCCUGUCGCCGUGCCAUCGCCACCGCCACCCUCGCAUCCAUAGAAGCAAGCAAUUCGCUCCUCCGCGAAGGGAGGGGGGUUGCUCAUAGACACACGCACGCGCACACGCGACUAGCAAUGGAAAUAUCGCGUCGCCUAUGGCGACCGUCGCGUAUCGAUCUAUCUAUACAUAUAUAUUCUUUGUUGUUGUUUCUUCUUUUCGUUUUGUUUCCGCGGCGCCCAACGUUGUAAUGCGUGUCACAACUUUGGAGAGCGACCUUGCGAGACGCGGUUGUGCUGUAGCAAAAUGUGCGCCCAACGC
rnacentral:misc_RNA from 1 species